UCAGCAGUCUAAGAGUUCAGGUGUUUUGA
rnacentral:piRNA from 1 species